rnacentral:rRNA from 1 species
GACGAACGCUGGCGGCGUGCUUAACACAUGCAAGUCGAACGGAGAGGCCCUGCUUUUGUGGGGUGCUCGAGUGGCGAACGGGUGAGUAACACGUGAGUAACCUGCCCUUGACUUUGGGAUAACUUCAGGAAACUGGGGCUAAUACCGGAUAGGAGCUCCUGCUGCAUGGUGGGGGUUGGAAAGUUUCGGCGGUUGGGGAUGGACUCGCGGCUUAUCAGCUUGUUGGUGGGGUAGUGGCUUACCAAGGCUUUGACGGGUAGCCGGCCUGAGAGGGUGACCGGCCACAUUGGGACUGAGAUACGGCCCAGACUCCUACGGGAGGCAGCAGUGGGGAAUAUUGCACAAUGGGCGGAAGCCUAAUGCAGCAACGCCGCGUGCGGGAUGACGGCCUUCGGGUUGUAAACCGCUUUCGCCUGUGACGAAGCGUGAGUGACGGUAAUGGGUAAAGAAGCACCGGCUAACUACGUG